ensembl:snoRNA Small nucleolar RNA SNORA57
CCUCCUUUCUUGGCAUGCACGGAGGUCCUCAGUGCUCGUGUGUGUAUGUGAUGGAGGGAUAUAAGUGCCAGUGUUAUGUCUUCGGUACCAGCCUGUUCCCAUCAGCUGGUCCUAUCCUCAAUCACUGGUACAUUG